CUUGGUCAUCUACGACGACUCCAGCUCCCGCCCAGACAUCUUCUGCUCUCCGGAUGUGGUUUCUACGGCUUCAUUUUCCCCAGCUCCAGCUUCAACUCCGGCCUGCUUCCCCACACCCCAUAAACCCUAAGCCCCGAGACCACUCCCCUGGAGUGUCAAUGCGGAUCAGGUGUUGACUGGGGAUGUUAUUCUGGGCAAGAUUUCCUUUUCUGGGAUAUCUGUCCGGCUUGUAUACCCAAGCCUGCAGAGGCCGGCGGGCGAGGUUGUCCGAGGUCGUCCUCACAUGGCUUGGUGUGCUUUAAUUUCUUCCCCCGCUUCGGCUGCAGCAUGGAAGAGCCGUUUUCCUCUUCCUCCGCUCGUCAUUUUUCAUCCCUUGAAUCCCUAUCCAUACAUACCUUCAGGAAAGGUCUGCAAAUCCUCUAAUGGUGCUGAACAGAACACGAAGACUUCUUUAGCUCUCUCUCUCUCUCUCUGACGUCCGUCCGUUCGUGGUUUCUUCACCACGCUGCUUUUCUUUAGUCAAACUUCUUCGUGCUGUCAACUUCAUGCGCAAGUCCACGUCUGCCUGCCGCACGACGCCUGCUUUGACGAAUAGUCCGCGGAAGUCGUCAUCUCGUAUCUCCAAGUCUUGGGGCAGCGAUGCCCAUUGACCCGCGAUGCGCUGGUGUCGUCCGAACCUGUUGACCUGUGCGCUGACCAUGACGGCGAGCCUUGUCUUCUUCUUGUUGUUCGAGCGGCGGCGACCUGGUCGACGCGGCAGCCGGAGCCAGACCUCGGUCCGACGAGGACCCAGCUCCGGCAGAAGUAAGCGGCGCCGCCGCUGACCGUCAAGGGCCCUCCGUUACGAUGCUGGCCGCCGGCAUCUUCCCGGCGAGUGCUGUAAAUUCGUACCCUGUAGGUCGUUGAACUGCUAGCUGCCUCAGCCCCUCAAUUGAGCGAGCCUACCCAGUCCGAUCGAUCCAGGAAAUCCGGGGGCGUGUUGGGGCCCCCGCCCCAAGGCCGGGCAGUCUCUCCUUUUUCGCAACAAAUCGUCUUCGCUUCAAAUGCAGCGCAGCGCAGCGCCAAAUAAUUCGCUGCAGCUGUCGAUGUAGAGGGAGGGUGCCCUUUUAAACGAGAUCGACGUUGUUGAUUAUAGAAGCCGCGAAAUGCCCCCUCGAUUCCUGCCUGAUGUUCUUUCUGCUCGAACCUGCCUGGGGCAAGGACGCGGCGGCC
rnacentral:lncRNA from 1 species